GGUGAGGUGGCCGAGCGGUUGAAGGCGCACGCCUGGAACGCGUGUAAGGGUGCAAGCCCUUCGUGGGUUCGAAUCCCACCCUCACCG
rfam:Tistlia consotensis strain TSBA 355 genome assembly, contig: Ga0111602_124